UUAAACUAUAAAAAAAAUUGAAUUUUUUUUCCCGAAGCAAGAAGAGCUAACUAAGCGUAUAUGUUAUUCUUUUAGGGUAUUAAGUGUAAUGUAGCAGAAUUACUCUUUAAAUUUUAGUUAGGGGUGAAAGGCCUUUCAAUUUUUGUUUAUAUCUGGAUCAAGCUAAAAAAUAUUUAGUAUUUAUGUCAGGCUUGAAAAUCUAAGCUUUCUAGCAGGCAAAAGUUUGUAGGAAAAAAGUAUCAUUUUAUUAAUAUAAAGGUGAGUCUCCGAGCUAGAAAUGAAUUUACUAUUUUCUUUGUCUAGUUAAGCUUAUUAGUGCUUGCUAAUAAAAUUGCCAACCCUAAAUAAUGUUUAAAUGAGUAUUUGAUAAUAAAAAGACGUAAGGAACUCGGCAAAAUUAAUUCUCUCAACUGUUUACCAAAAACAUAGCCAGUUGCUCUUCAUGAUUGGUCAGCUCUGCCCAGUGAACAUUCUUUUUUAACGGCCGCAGUACACUGACUGUGCAAAGGUAGCAUAAUCAAUUGGCUUUUAAAUGAAGUCGGGAAUGAAAGAGUCAAUGGGGGGAUACUGUCUUAUUUUCUUUUUUUAAGAAUUUACCAAGCAAGUGCAAACGCUUGCCGGUGAGCCUAAAAGACGAGAAGACCCUAUAAAUUUUUACUAAAAGUUUUUAUCUUUGACGAAGGUUUUUGUUGGGGCAACAAGUUAACAUAAAAUUGAAAGAAUUUAACUACUAAAAUUAAGCAGAUUCAGCGAGUUUUACUAGAAAUAUAUAAAUUACUAUAGGGAUAACAGCAUAAUUUUACUUUAAGAUUGUGACCUCGAUGUUGGAUUAGGGACUUACUAAAUAAACCAUUUAAGUAAGAAGUUCUGUUCGAACCUAAACACCU
rnacentral:rRNA from 1 species